UCGUGUUCUUGUUUAGGUCUUGUUAGAGUCUAGUUAUUUCAUAGCUUGGUAAUUGUGAUAGUCGUCGGAACUUGUGUUUGUGUGAUUUUGUACUAAGAAGUAGGUUUGACUUCUUGGAGAGUGUGAAUUGAAGCAGUCAUAUCUAGUUGUUUGAGUCUAAUGAAUGAAGUUUAUAUUUUGAAUUUGGAGUUGUAAUUUUAAA
rnacentral:lncRNA from 1 species